UCUCUCGUAGCUCAGUGGUCAGAACAUUGGUGCGUAAAGCCAAAGCUCCCGGGUUCGUUUCCCGGCGAGGGUG
rfam:Agrilus planipennis Contig57598, whole genome shotgun sequence.